AUGAUGACUGCUUUGGAGGAAUCUCAUCUUGUUGGGCGAGAGAAAGAAAAAGAUGAGAUUAUCAAGCUUAUUUCAGAUCAAGCUACCCAAAAAUACCAGGUGAUCUCUGUGUGGGGAAUGGGUGGUCUAGGAAAGACCACUCUAGUCAAAGAUAUCUACGAAAACCAAGAGCUGAGUAGCACAUUUGAGAAGCGUGCUUGUGUCACAGUUAUGCGUCCUUUUAAUCUUGAAGGUCUUCUUCGGAGUUUAAUUAUGCAACUUGACAUAGAAUCUUCAGAUAAGAAAGACGUGGUUGGUUUGAUGGGCAAGACAAGGAACACAUUACUACUGAUGCCACCAAUAGCACUUAUUAAGGAGAUGGAAAGGCUUAUAGAAGGAAAGAGGUGCUUGAUUGUUCUUGAUGAUGUAUUGAUGUAUCAUCUACUGCAGAAUGGAACAUGA
rnacentral:rRNA from 1 species